AUUGCAAGGUUUAUUUGAAGUACAGACAAAGAGUAUCAGUAUCAGCUGUAGUUGUGUACGUUUAUAUAGUAUUGUAUGACUACUGCAAUUUCGGAAAAUCUGAAGACUCCAGGAUAUUGCGCACGAUGCGCCAGUCCAACCGAGACCACAUCCGAUCUUCGGAAUUGCAAGCUUUGUAACACCAUGAAUCGGUAAUUGUCGUUUCAAGUGCUGUAGCGUAUUCCAAAGAACGCUUCCGAAGUCAUCCGACUAUUCUACAACGUUCUCGUAACAAACACUUCAUAUUUCUCGGUAAGUUGAACGGCAUUCACUCCAUCCACCCCUAUUAAAAAAAGGAAUCGAGCGCGAUCAUUGGGACAUUGGCCACGCUCGUAAACUUCCCAUGUCAGUACGAAGGGGUAAAUUGAUUACGUAUGCGAU